rnacentral:rRNA from 1 species
GACGGGGGAUGCAAGUGUUAUCCGGAAUCACUGGGCGUAAAGCGUCUGCAGGUGGUUUCCUAAGUCCACUGUUAAACCUUGAGGCUCAACCUCAAAUCUGCAUUGGAAACUAGGAGACUUGAGUAUAGUAGGGGUAGAGGGAAUUUCCAGUGGAGCGGUGAAAUGCGUAGAUAUUGGAAAGAACACCGAUGGCGAAGGCAUUCUACUGGGCUAUUACUGACACUCAGAGACGAAAGCUAGGGGAGCAAAUGGG